GACGAACGCUGGCGGCGUGCUUAACACAUGCAAGUCGAACGGAAAGGCCCUGCUUUUGUGGGGUGCUCGAGUGGCGAACGGGUGAGUAACACGUGAGUAACCUGCCCUUGACUUUGGGAUAACUUCCGGAAACUGGGGCUAAUACCGGAUAGGAGCUCCUGCUGCAUGGUGGGGGUUGGAAAGUUUCGGCGGUUGGGGAUGGACUCGCGGCUUAUCAGCUUGUUGGUGGGGUAGUGGCUUACCAAGGCUUUGACGGGUAGCCGGCCUGAGAGGGUGACCGGCCACAUUGGGACUGAGAUACGGCCCAGACUCCUACGGGAGGCAGCAGUGGGGAAUAUUGCACAAUGGGCGGAAGCCUGAUGCAGCAACGCCGCGUGCGGGAUAACGACCUUCGGGUUGUAAACCGCUUUCGCCUGUGACGAAGCGUGAGUGACGGUAAUGGGUAAAGAAGCACCGGCUAACUACGUG
rnacentral:rRNA from 1 species